CCUACGGGAGGCAGCAGUGGGGAAUAUUGCGCAAUGGGCGAAAGCCUGACGCAGCGACGCCGCGUGAGGGAUGAAGGUCUUCGGAUCGUAAACCUCUUUCAGCAGGGAAGAACGGUCACUGUGCUAAUCAGCAGUGAAUUGACGGUACCUGCAAAGGAAGCACCGGCUAACUCCGUGCCAGCAGCCGCGGUAAUACGGAGGGUGCGAGCGUUAAUCGGAAUUAAUGGGCGUAAAGCGCUCGUAGGCGGUAUGGCAAGUCAAGGGUGAAAUCCCCACGCGCAACGUGGGAACUGCCUUUGAAACUGGCAGACUGGAGUGUGUGAGAGGAUAGUGGAAUUCCAGGUGUAGGGGUGAAAUGCGUAGAUAGCUGGAGGAACAUCAGUGGCGAAGGCGACUAUCUGGCACAUAACUGACGCUGAGGAGCGAAAGCGUGGGUAGCAAACAGGAUUAGAUACCCGUGUAGUC
rnacentral:rRNA from 1 species